rnacentral:rRNA from 1 species
GACGAACGCUGGCGGCGUGCUUAACACAUGCAAGUCGAACGGUGACGAGGAGCUUGCUCCUCUGAUCAGUGGCGAACGGGUGAGUAACACGUGAGCAACCUGCCCCAGACUCUGGGAUAACAGUUGGAAACAGCUGCUAAUACCGGAUACGAGACGGAGAGGCAUCUCUACCGUCUGGAAAGUUUUUCGGUCUGGGAUGGACUCGCGGCCUAUCAGCUAGUUGGUGAGGUAAUGGCUCACCAAGGCGACGACGGGUAGCCGGCCUGAGAGGGCGACCGGCCACACUGGGACUGAGACACGGCCCAGACUCCUACGGGAGGCAGCAGUGGGGAAUAUUGCACAAUGGGCGAAAGCCUGAUGCAGCGACGCCGCGUGAGGGAUGACGGCCUCGGUUG